rnacentral:lncRNA from 1 species
GGAGACUGUGAGUUGACCCUCUCCUCUGUUCUGGCCUCACUGUGCACCUCGGGUGAGUCCCCGCACCUCCCUGACCAUCCAUGUACCUUGCGGGACACAGGAAGUCACCCCUCUGCUCCUAAGACCCAGGGGGUGGGGCCUGAUGAAGCCUGGAGAUCCUUUCAAGACCAGGCAUGUGUGAAAUGCCCCAGAUUCCUUGAAAAGGAGGGUAGGACGAGGAGGAAGUGAUGGUCUUUCUCGAGCUCUACAGAGCAGCACGGCGGCCCACGCUGAGAUGCCGAGGAGGUUCCCUAUUUGGAAGUAAACACAGGCUCCGUUUAAGGGUUCACGGCAGCGGGAGCGAGGGGGCCGGAGCACUUUGUUCCCAAGUGCGCUUAUGUAAAAGCCGUCCCAUUACCUAUUCUCUGUAGCUUUUCGUUGCAAAACUCGAGAAUUUCUGAACGCCCAGCUUGUGGUCCCGGGAAGGGAAGGCAGAGCCCAGGCUGGCCCUGUAGACUCCGCCCUUGGUGGUGGCCAUGGCGGGGGUAUUUGUGGGAAGCCCGAGCUGCCCCAAAUACUGCUGUCUGAAUUGGGUAGGUGACUGGCCCUCUCUGGACAUGUUUCCUCAGCAGUGCAAAGAUGGGGUCGGAUUUAGGAGGCCUCUGUCCUGGUCGGGCUCCUCCAAAACUGUUCUGGAAGCAAGGUGUUGAAUUACCGCUGGUGUAUUUGGGAAGGCACCCCAGGACGCACAGCAAGGGGGCGGAGAGCGAGGGCCGGGGAGGGAGAUAGGUCACAUAAAGGUGCGUCAAGCUGUGGGCGAUGGGGGCCCAUGACUAUGGGGACCCUCAGAGGAACCGUGUGGUACACGCCUCUGCCCCCCACCUGCCCCUUAUUGGUCGAGAGCCACCUCUGUGAGCCCGAAGCAUCCCUGCCUUCCAGCUGGCCCCGCUCCCGGGCUGAGCAAGCUCCUGUGGGUCAGAGAAAGCCAGAGCAACCCGGAGAAAUGCGGUUCCUGCAGGCGGGAAGUGGGGGUUCUCGGGAGCUGUCCACUUUGGCCGGCGGUGAACUCAGGCACGGCUGCAAGGACUCUGGGAUUGGACCUCAAGAGCCCCUCUCCAUCCCCCAAGCCCUCCGCUGCUCUAACAUUCUGGAUCCUCCCUUCUUUCCAGGCAACUCAACUCCGGGUUCCAUAAGCAUUUGUGUCUGUCGGGUUCAUGGCUGCAUCUCCAGCAUCUGGAACAGCGCCUGUCAACACGUAUUGCGUGGAAUAAACUGGCCGCCCGAUGGGCAUCUUUCUUGGUUGCGCACGGUGCUCUGGGCCCCGAGCUAGCCCUGGGGAUACAACGUUGAAUCGGGCUUGGUCCCUGCCUUUAGGAGCUUGCUGCAUGGAGGGGGCAAUGCGAUCGCCACCAUUGAUGAGACUCUGUCGUGCAGGCCGGCUUCGCGUCGGUCACCUUCUUUCAGCCUCCGAUAGCCACGAAGGGCCCGUGCGCUCGUGCCUAUCUCACGGGCGAGCAACUCAAAACUCAAAGAGGUGAAACGACUUGCCUGUCUCAAAACACACACUCACCAGCGUUGCGUGUUACUGGGUUUUUGUUUGGGUGUUACUGAUUGGAUUGGCCAGAGAAGAAGCCAGGGGAGAGGGCAGCCCCCAUGCAGGAAAGAGGAGCUGGUCCCGUUCCACCUGCUGUGUGCCAUGGUGUGUCCUUUCUCCUUCUCUGGGUCUCCAGUUACCCGCUUGCUGGAACAACUUCCCAUCUGGUCCCCUUCCCUCCAGCCCAUCCAGGGCCCGGCACAGGGCCCGACACGCUGCAGACGUGCAGCGAAUAUCUGUUGAAGUCCAAACUAUGAAAUGCUCUUUAAAAAGACGAGUUAGCUACGUCAUUCUCGGGCUUAUGUCUUUUGCUCAAGCUCUCCAUGGCUUCCAUUUACCUGCCUUGUCUUCUUCACUCUGUUUCAUGCAGGUACCACUGUGCUCGGGUGAUCAAGGACCCAGACUCUGAAGCCGGACAGCCUGGAUGUGGCUCUGGGACUUUGUCGCUGUGUGACUUGUGGCAUCUUACUCCACCUCUCUGUGCCUCGGUGCCUCGGUCUGUAAAAUUGGAACAAUAGUGAAGGUUUCAGAGAGUUGUGCUGAGGAAGAAAUAAGGGGAUGGACGUGGGGAGCGCUGAAAACCGCUCCAGGCACAUAUAUAUAGUCACUAUGUAAAUGCGUGCUAUUACCAUUUAUUAUUAUGGUUAUUAUGGGUUAUUAUUAUGCCACAGUGGACUUCAGGUGCCCUAAAUCCACUCAGGCCUGAACCUGGGGCAGCUCUUCUCCUCCUGGGGGGCCCCACAGCUCCAGACUCGUCUUCUUAGCAUUUCAAGUUCACAACGAAGGGAGACAUU